rnacentral:lncRNA from 10 species
AGCACCCACUAAGUCAUAACAUGAAAUUUCAGAACACCUGAGAUAAAGAUCCUAAAGCUGCCAGAGAGGAAAAUUACAGGUCACAAAUAAAAGCUCUGCAGUCAGGAUAGCACAGGAUUUCAACAGCAGAGAUGAAAUCUAGAACAACAAUGAAUUAAUGCAUUUAAAACUGCUUACCUACAAUUCCACGAUCAAACUAUCAAAGGAGUGAAAGAGUAAAAUAAACCCAUUUCACUCAGGCAAAGGUCUUGAAAAGUUUAUAUCCCAAUGACCUUCCCUGGGAUGCUGAAAGAUAUACUCCACCCAACAGGAAAGUAAACCAAAAAGCAGCAGCUAUGGGAUCCAGGAGACAGGAGAGGAAGAAAUGACCAGGGUGAAGGUAAAGAGAAAUCCCAGGGCAGAAGCUAUGCCUGAGGUCUAGAGAAUAACCAACGUGCAGUGGCUCACGCCUGUAAUCCCAGCACUUUGGGAGGCCAAGGCGGGCAGAUCACUUGAGGUCAGGAUUUCGAGAUCAGCCUGGCCAACAUGGUGAAACCCACUCUCUACCAAAAAUUUAAAAAUUAGCUGGGUGUGGUGGUGCAUGCCUGUAAUCCUAGCUACUCAGGAGGCUGAGGUGGGAGGAUCGCUUGAACUCAGGAGGCGGAGGCUGCAGUGAGCCAAGAUCACACCACUGCACUCAAGCCUGGGCAACAGAGUGAGACCUUGUCUUCAAAAAAAAAAAAAAAAAAAAAAAAAAAGAAUAACCAAAGUGCCUGUUCUGGGCUGAGUUGUGUCACUCCAAAAGUCAUGUUAAAGUUCUAACCACAGUAUCUCAGUAUGUGACUGUAUUUGGAAAUGGGCCUUUAAACAGGUAAAUAAGUAAAAGUGAAGUCACUAGAGUGGGCCCCAAUCCAAUAUGACCAGCGUCCUUUUUCUUUUUCUUUUCUUUUAAAUUGAGGUCCCAUUCCAAUUAGCAUCUUUUUAAGGUAAGGAAAUUUAGACACAGAGAGACACAAAGGGAAGACCAUGUGAAGACACAGGAAGACGGCCAUUUACAAGACAAGAAGAGAGGCCUCUGAAGAAACCAACCCUGCUGACACCUUGCUCUUUCCAUCUCCAGAAUUGUGAGAAAAUUAAUUUCUCUUAUUUAAGCCACCCAGUCUGUGGUACUUUGCUAUGGCAGCCCUAGUAAACGAAUAUAGCACUGAACCCAGAACAAGGGAACCAGGAAAGAUUAAGAAAAAAAAAAAGAAUUUGAUGUAUAUACAAGAUUACAUAAUGCUAUCAGAGAUUUGGGGGAUGAAUUCAUCAUCAAUCCAUAGGAAAAGAGGCAAACAAAUGAAGUAAAAGUGAGGGGGGAAAAGUGGUCUGAGAAACACAAUCAUGGUACACUAUGGCUCAUGAUGAAUAUUUAGCUAGUAAAUAACAUGAACUUAGAUCGCUGACUUAACCAAAGGUUGAGAAACAACUGUGGUGUGGUGUGGGUGGAUAUUAUGAAAGAGCUAAAUUCUUAUCUACCAUAGGAGGAAAUCAACAGGUAAUAACACUAAUGGAAAAAUCAAGAAGUGGCGAUAUAAGCACAUUAUUUAAAUAUGGAGGCAAAUGCCAAUAAAUAAUGCAAAAAUACUUAAAGUGGCUGCCUUUGGGAAAUGAUAUCCAGGAGUAAGGUGGAAGACCGCCCCUUUUCAUGAUAAUCUCAGUGGAGCUAUUUGAAUUGUAAACAACUCAUAGGUGUUUAUGAAUAAUGAAAGAAUUUUAAAACCUAAGCAGACCACUAAAGACCUUUUUAUUAAAUUGUAUAUAUAUAUAUAUAUAUAUAUAUAUAUAUAUAUAUAUAUAUAUAUAUAUAAUUUUGAGACAGAGUCUCACUCCGUGGCCCAGGCUGGAGUGUGGUGGGGUGAUCUUGGCUCACUGCAACAUCCGCCUCCCAGGUUCAAGCAAUUCUCCUGCCUCAGCCUCCCAAGUAGCUGGGAUUAUAGGUGAGCGCCAUCACACCCAGCUAAUUUUUGUAUUUUUAGUACAGAUGGGGUUUUGCCAUGUUGGGCAGGCUGGUCUCGAACUCCUGAGCUCAGGUGAUCUUGGCCUCCCAAAGUGUUGGGAUUACAGGCGUAAGCCACUGCAUCCGGCCUAAAGACAUUUUUAAACAAAAGACUUGCUAGUCCUCUUAGCCAGACACAGAACAAGUGUGUUAAAUAAAUAAGACAUGAAACAUCUAAUGGUGACAAGAUUUUUUAACAGGCCAUGUUAACUGAAAUGAGGAGGACACAGAGGGGACAAUAGGGUCAGGAAACUUUUUUGAAGGUGUAGUGUUUAUAUGAUGGCACUUCUGCUGACAGCGUCCUCCUCAGAAGUUGCCUGCCCAGGGGCUCUUUAAAACAGACUAGGUGGAUUUCCAUGUCUGCCCCUGCUUGUUCUUUUUGCCUCGCCAGUUGUCUUGCUCCGAUUUCUUCCCAAGUGGGCUUUCAUGAUGUAUUCAUGAUGAGCCUUCAUGACGUACUCUACAAGACUAGCCUUUUAGCAAGAACUUUUAUAUCUCUGUUAAAUGUGACAAGCAGAGAAAAACUGUAUAGCCAUCACUUAGAUGAAAUAUAGCAAUGUGACCAAGCCUAUGUUACAAAAAUCAUGUAGGUUUUACUUAUUUUCCUUUCUCUUUGUCCUUAACUUCCUCCAGGCAGGACUGCUUGCAUGUAGUCAUUUUGGUAGAGGGUAGUCACUAAUAAGUGAUUAACUUCAUAUCCUAACCCCCAGGGGCGGCUUGCAAGAUUGAUGAACUUGUUUUUCUUGUAAAGAACAAUGAUCCCUGGGUCAUGCUGACCUCCUUGAUGGCACCCAGAAGUUUGAUUGGCCAAGGGAUGCAAGCAGCUUUGAUAAUCAGGGGAUCUCACUUCCCAUAUACCUACCUUACUCAUAAAAGCCACUGGUUACGUGCAAAGGGAGGCUGAAUUUGAGAAUUUGCCUCUCCCACCCUCAUGCUUUGGUCAAAUUGAAUAAACCUUUCUCUGCUCUGAAGCACCGAUGUGUCAGUGUUUGGCUUACUGCGCAUCAGGUACUUGAACCUAACUUUUGGGGUUCUGCAACAGAUUUUGGCAACCAUGCCAGGUCUAGCAUGGCAAUAGGCCCUGGCCAGGUUAGGCGAACGAGUGUCCCAGCAGCUGCCCAAGUGUGUUGGUCAGGGGGCCCUAAAGUCGCUCUUCUAGGUCAGUGUAGGCUGCUGUUGGUACUCUAGAAGCUUAGAGCAGAGAAACAUCUCAGACUGCUAUCUGGACUUCUGGUUUUGGUUUGAAGGGUAAGUCACUGCGGUGCACACAGCCAUAUCUCACUCUCUCUGCUUGCAUUGUGAAGAGGGCCCUUUUGGGGGAGUAAUAGAAUGGUGGACUAUGCCCAUUUUCUUGUUUGCUUUCCUGUAGGGAGUUUGGUUUUCUGUUUGUGAUUUUGUUUUGUUGUUGUUGUUGUUUGGUUUGGGGGGUGUGUGUGUGUGUAUCUGUGUGUGUGUGUGUGUGUGGUGUGUGUGUUAUGUGAAAAGACUGAACAGGGCAAAUUUGGAAUUGAUCCCAGAGAGUAGCAUCAUUGGCUGCAUUCUCCAGAAUUGGGCCACUUUCAGCUAUGAGCCCAUGAAGAAAAAUAAAAUUUUUUUAACUGUAACGCUGCUUGGCCUCAAUAUGCCUUAGAAUUUGGGAAAAAAUGGCUGACAAACAGUUCUUUAAGUUAUGCUACUAUAAUACAACUGCAACUAUUCUGUAAGAGCAGAGAAAAUAGGAUGCAAUCCUGUAUGUCCAGGCUUUUAUACUCUUUUAUCAGAAUGAACCUACUCAAAAGAGGUAUAAUUUGAUGCUGCAAAAGGAAAAACAGCCCAAACCUAAGGUUUUAGACUCCCACCAUUAGGUGGGGAAGACAGGGCACUGCUUGGUGCUUUGAAUCCCCUGAAUAAUCAUCCUGAUCCUCUGCCCCCCAGUCAGCUAUGGCUCCAGCACCUCCACCUCCUUAUGGGAUUGUCUGGAGCAGGAGGGGAACACUCCCAAACCUGUCCUCCCCAUGGAAUUAGGACAGGUUGUGGUCUCGCCUUCCUGCAACUGACAGGAAACCCAAUUUGGCCUGGGACCCACUGGUCCCUUAGUAGGGCAGUUUCCUCUGUGUCAAUUCCCCACUGUGGGACUUGAAUGGACAACAGUUUGGCAUGAUGUGGUUACAUUUCCUUUUCCCACUUUGGAGCUGUUCAGUGGGAAAACAAUAUCUUUGGAAAAACAAUAAUCCCCCCUAUCCCAACCCAAGCAAAUGGCUGGGCUAUUCUUGUCUAUAUUUCUGACCUACCACCCGACAAGGGCAGAUACUCACUUUGUUAAAGUGCUGCUCACAGCAGAAGAAAGGCAUGUAGUCACAGAAAAGGCUAGGGAAGAAGCAAAUCGGCUCCAUCUGGAGGCAGGAAACAAUCACCCCUGGCCAAUAGACUCAGUCCCUAACACAGAGACCAGGUGCGAUGUAAAUGGUGGGGCCUUUCCCACUUAGGACACUAUGAGAACCACAUCCUUGAAGGUUUGAGGAAAGGGGUUACUCAGGUUAAGAGCCUCAAUAAGGUACAGGAAGUACAGCGGCAAGCAUAUGAGGACCCUUUGUAAUUCCCAGAAAGACUCCAUCAGACAUGUGGAAAGUAGGUUGACGCUAACUAACCCUGAGGCACCGGACAAUCAGAGAAUGGUCAAUGUGACCUUUAUCAGCCACAGUGCCCUGAUAUUCAAAGAAAACUGCAAAAGGUAAAUGGGAUCCUUGGGUUGCCAAUCUCACAUUUAGUGGACUUAGCUUUUAAAGUGUACUAUGCUCAGGAUGAGGCUCAGGAAAGUGCAAAUUGAAGCAACAAGUAACUCACUGGCAGCUGUGCUUGACUACCAACCUAGGGGAAAAGGAAGAAAUCAAAGAGCGGCUCACGCCCCCUUCAGAAAAAAAACCAAUAUGCCUAUUGUAAGAAGGAGGGACACUGGAAAAAGGGCUGUCCCAAAUUGACCAAAGCAGCUAGCAAGUGCAGUGUCCCUCAAAAUCAGAUGAGGAGAGAGAAUAAUAUUUAGAUGAAGACUGAUGUGUCCCAGGGACUCCCUUAGACUUGGAGCAACCAGUGGCUAUAUCCCCACAGGAUUCCUAGAUACAACUGACAGUGGGGAACAGAAUGAUUGACUUUUUACUUGACACAGUGCCACAUAUUAAUUAAUUAACAAUUGUCUCUCUCCAGCUUUGGGAAAAACCAUUACUGUUACACGGAUAUUGGGAGACACCAUUAUCCCUUUCUACAAUCUUCAGGUUACCAUUUACGAGAGACCGGCCUAGGGCAUAGUUUCUUGUACAUGCUUAAUGCCCAGUGCCCCUCCUGGGCUGGGAUUUGCUUGCCAAAUUGUAUGCUCAACUUGUCUUUCCCCCCAGAUGCCUAGAUAUAAUGAUUCCUUCUGAACAAGUUUGCAGGUUUCAAAUACUCCUGCUGCAACCAGAAAACGAAGAGGUUCAGGACAUUCCAGAAGAAAUUCUCACACAGCUACACAAGGAGAACUUGUGCCAUAAUGAAAACUGAAUGCUAUGUGUACAUUCCAGACAAUUCAGGAAACAUCACCCUGGCCCUUCAAGAUAUGUACAAACUGAUGCUGUGUCCAACCUCAUGAUGUCACUAAACCAAUGAUUAUCUUAAUACUUCCGGUCAGUACCCUCUUGGUGGAAAAAAUUACUGGUAAUUCUAGCUAUGACUAUAGGAACAGGAAUACUCCUUGGCUGUGGAUUAUACUGCUGUGGCACUAUAUAUGUGGGAUUGCAAGAUCGCCCUUCUCAAGCUCCUGACACCCUGUUCAACAAUGUUACAACAAAAUUGCCUAAGUCCCGGGACAUGUGAAUAUUUUCAACUGCAGAACAAUGAUCCUUAGGUCAUACUGACCUCCCUGAUGGCAUCCAGAAAUUUGACUGGCCAAGGGACACGAGCAGCUUUGAUCAUCAGGGAAAGCCCCCAAUUACAUGCAAAGGAAGGUCAUAUUUGAGAAUCUGCUUCUCCCACCCUCAUACUUUGGCCAAAUUGAAUAAACCUUUCUAAGCAUUAAUGUGUCAGUGUUUGGCUUACUGUGCACCGGGUACAUGAACCUAACUUUUGGGGUUCUACAACAGCAACCUGACUGAGCUAAUCACGUACAGCCAAGAACAGCUGAGCUACAGUAGCUCCUUAAAAUCAGGGUCCAGAUGUUGUUCAUAGAUGAGAGAAGAGAAAAUAACUAUCACAUGCAGCAUCAGACAUUCAAUGACACAAAUCCUCAAAAUCAGAUGCUUUAAAAAAUGAAGCCAAUGGCUGGGCAUGGUGGCUCAUGCCUGUAAUCCCAGCACUUUGGGAGGCCAAGGCAGGAGGAUCGCUUGAGCUCAGGAGUUCAAGACCAACCUGGGCAACAAAGUGAGACCUUAUCUCUAUCAAAAAUUUAAAAAUAAAUUAAUUAAAAUAAUUUAAAAAUGAAGCCAGGUUGCUCAAGUAUUCAUCAAGUAUUUACUGAGGCUUACUAUGUGUUAUGAUGAUGAGACACUUCUUUGAGCCAUCAAAGGUUUCUGGCUUCCUCUGCAACUAAAAAUAAUUACCCUCCCCAAUGAAGGGUCUGUGUGUUCCACAGGUAUAGCAGCAGAAGAGACAACUUGGAAAAAGUGAAGGUAGGCCAGGCACAGUGGCUCAUGGCUAUAAUCCUAACACUUUGGGAGGCUGAGGUGAGUGGAUUCGCUUGAGCUAAGGAGUUUGAGACCAGCCUGGGCAACAUGGCAAAACCUGGUCUCUAUUAAAAAAAAUACAAAAAAUUGGCCAGGCAUUGUAGUCCACACCUGUAGUCUCAGCUACUAGGGAGGCUGAGGUGGGAGGAUCACUUCAGCCAGGAGGCAGAGGCUGCAGUGAGCCUAGAUGGCACCACUGCACUCCAGCCUGGGUGACAGAGCAAGACCCUGUCUCAAAAAAAAAAAAAAAAAAAAAGGUAAGCCACAACUCCACUUAAGAGGAGAGGCAACUGGAGAAAGAUCCCAGGAGGUUAUAUUCAACAACGGAGCAAUAACACAGUAGUCUUGCUAGACAUCCACAGCCUUUAAAUGGACAUAUUCUACUCUGUUUAUCACCUUUAUAAAAGUUUUCAAGUUUUCUGGAUAGUUCUACUCAGUUGAUGGCAAUUACCCUGCCAGGUAACUUACUCACUAUAAUUGAAUAAACCAGCAAUCUGGUUUAUCAGUCAGUCUCUCUUGCUCAAUUGACAAUCCCUAAAAGUUCAUCCAUUCCUGUGUGAGACCGUAUAUCUGACAAUUCAGUCAAAGGAAGUUGGUCAAAUCCCACAACUGACUGCCAAAGAAAGUAAUAUCUAAUCACAAAAAUACCACAAUUAAUUACAGGUAGUAACUAGGUUCUAAAGAAAUUAUCUCCUAAGUAGAUUUUAAUAUAAAUUUUGAACAGUU